rnacentral:lncRNA from 1 species
UGUGUCACCCCAGGUUUUUUGAACUGCUAGGUGAGGCUAGAAAUUUUAGUUAUCUAAACUUAGAUAAAUUAAUUUAUACUGAUUGAAUUUCUUUCCCUUUGAGAGCAGGGAGGAAGAGAUGUUCAUGAUCAAAGAGGGGAAGACUAGAGAAGGUAACAGUAGUUGAUCAUAUUCUAAACAUUAUGAAUAUUUAAAAGCCUGAACAAAUACUUUUCAUUUUAACAUGAUCCUGUGUUAAAAAUUAGAUGACAAUUCAGCCUUUUGCUUCUAGAUUCCAUCUUACUCUUCACAUUAGAUACC